GCUGGCAAGUGCAGCUGGAGGCGGUGGUGGAGACAGUCAAGCCAGGAACGUGGGUGGAGCAUGAAGGGCCAGCGAUUUCAGAAUAAGUGAUUGCCAAACAUACAUCGGGCUCCUCAAAGCUCCCAUGACCUCUCAGAGAAAAUGAGGGAAGUUUCCCAGGGCUCUGUCCUCUUCAGACUAGGAGUUCUCUAACUAAGUGACCUCAAACUAACUGACAGCCUUCGAACUAACACGGAAACAGCCCACCUGGGAACAAAGUCAGCAUGGAGUAAACUGAUCUGGAAGAUACUAAGAGCUGGAGAGGCAGAGAUCUGAUAACAUCAGGCCCUGGAUCCAGCCAUUCCUGAAGCUAACUCUCUGGAUAUUACUGCUAUGUGAGCCCAUGAGUGACAACUCCAGAGAAGGGAAUGUGGGAGGGCUUUCUAGAAGGAGAAGACAGCUUGGCCAAAGGUUCAGAGGUGCUGACGUGAGGGUCUGCUCGAGAGGAAGUGGUGAGUAACCCAGUGGUCGAAGGAGGGAGAAAAAUGCCUGGACAUGCUAGCGGACAUCUCUGUUGCCACACUGGGGAGGGGUGGUGAACUUGGCAGGCAGUAAGAGCAAUAAAAGGUUUAAUUAGGCAGGACCUAUGAUUUAGGUUAUUCAAGAUAUUAGCCAAGCAAGGGAUGACGGAAGUGGGCUGGCUGGUGGAAAGCCUGGCGAGAACUCUCUCCGGAGCAUCAGAGAGCAGCUUCAUCAGGGUGGCCCUGAGCAGGCCAGUAAGUAGGUCUCUCUGCAAAUGCACGAAAAAUAUUUGGUAAACACAUAUUAACGAAACCCUGGGUUGAAUCCUGUCAUCACUCCUUCUCCAAAUUAAUUUCUAGCCCAGAACCUCAGAAUGUGAUCUCAUUUGGAAAUACAGAUGCAGAUGAUUACAUUUGCAGAUAUAAUCAGUGAGGUUCAGAGGGGUCAUACUGGAUUAGGGUGGGCCCUUCAGCCCGUAUGACUGGUGUUCCCAUGAGGAGAGAUACAGAGACAGAGAGAGAUACAAGGAAAGAAGGCCCUGCGAUGACGGAGGCAUAAAUCAGAGUGACGCAACCGCAGGCCAGGGAAUACCAAGGCUUGCCUGCAAGCACCAGGAGCUGGGAGAGGAGGGCAAGGAUUCCACCUUGGAGGCUUCAGAGGGAGGCUGACCCCACUGACUCCUUGAUGGCAGAUCUCCAGCCUCCAAAACUGAGAUAAAAUACAUUUCUGUUAUUUUAAGCCACUCUUUUGGUGGUAAGUUGUUAUAGCACUCCUGACAAACCAUUACAAACCAGGAGCAAAGAGAAACUGGUUAUUAUGGCCAAAAGUUAUAUAGACCUCUUCAUUCCUAUUAAAAAUGGAAGAUUUACUGUGUACCCUGAACCAAAGGCGAACAUCCAACCGCCUGUGAAAUUGUUUUCCUUUCGCAGAUUUUCCCCAUUGCUCACAGCUGGACAUUACAUGUCAAGGAUGCUCUCAGAGGACUGGGAAAAGGUUCAGAGGUCCACAGAUAUGAUCCUUCUACUUGGGCUCCCGAAGCAAGCAGAAAGAUCCCUUCCCCUCCCCAUGAAGUCCAAGCAGGGCUGCAGAAAGAAGGGAGAGUUCAGGAAGAAGCACUUGCUUUUGCUCACUUGUUCAACCACUGUUUACUGGCUUUCUGUAUGAAUCGGGUACCUUGAAAGAUGCCAGGAGAGAUGGGAUGAGAUGAUGAUGGUCGUGAUCAUGAUGGCUAACAUUCUAUCAAGGACUUUGUACAUGCCAGGCACUGUUCUAGGAUGUUUCACAGGUCCUUAUGUGACUUCCCUGAUGGCUCAGAUGGUAAAGCAUCUGCCUACAAUGCAGGAGACCUGAGUUCGAUCCCUAGGUUAGGAAGAUCCCCUGAAGAAGGAAAUAGCAACCCACUCCAGUACUGUUGCCUUGAAAAUCCCAUGGAUGGAGGAACCUGGUAGGCUACAGUCCAUGGGGACAUAAAGAGUUGAACACGACUGAGCAACUUCACUUUCUUUCUUUCUUUCUUUUCUUUACGUGUAUUAACUGGUAUUUCUUAAAACGACCCUAGAAGAUAGCUCUGUUAUUAUGUACAACUUCCCAAUGAGGAGGCCGAGGCAGCAAAUUACAGAACGUGCCAGGGCCACAAAAGCUGGUGAGAUCAGAGAUGAGAUACAAAUGAUCUGCAGAGAUGAAAGUCCCAGCUUCCCAGGAGGAGGGGCGGG
ensembl:lncRNA